rnacentral:rRNA from 1 species
UACAGAGGUGGCAAGCGUUGUUCGGAAUUACUGGGCGUAAAGGGCGCGUAGGCGGCCUUCUAAGUCAGACGUGAAAUCCCCCGGCUUAACCUGGGAACUGCGUCUGAUACUGGGAGGCUUGAGUAUGGGAGAGGGAUGUAGAAUUCCAGGUGUAGCGGUGAAAUGCGUAGAUAUCAGGAGGAAUACCGAUGGCGAAGGCAGGUCUCUGGGCUGACACUGACGCUCAUGCACGAAAGCGUGGGGAGCAAACAGG